UACGUAGGGUCCGAGCGUUGUCCGGAAUUACUGGGCGUAAAGAGCUCGUAGGUGGUUUGUCGCGUUGUUCGUGAAAACUCACAGCUCAACUGUGGGCGUGCGGGCGAUACGGGCAGACUUGAGUACUGCAGGGGAGACUGGAAUUCCUGGUGUAGCGGUGGAAUGCGCAGAUAUCCGGAGGAACACCAGUGGCGAAAGCGGCCACCUGGACUGCACCUGACGCUGACACGCGAAAGCUAGGGGAGCGAACGGG
rnacentral:rRNA from 1 species